rnacentral:lncRNA from 13 species
CACUCCUUUUCUUUGCUGACGUUGUGCCUGUUUCCCGUUUACGGAGGGCAACCCCCAGCAGCAGUGACAAGACCACCCCAGCUACGCUGUCCGCAUACUACUUAUGCGUCAGAAUCACCAACCAGAUUUACACUGAGUCACUCAAUAAUCAAAGCUCUAAGGAGUACAAACAGCUGAGGAAACAGGUGGAACAGAUGAUGGAUGACGUCCACAGCACUUUGCCAGAGUCUGACAAAUAUAUGGGUGUAUUUGAUAUAAUCUUCAGUAAUGGAUCAGUCAUUGCAAACUCGACAUUAAUGUUUGGGACUACAUUCAUGAUCAUUCCAACUUUAGCUAAAGGUCUACUUUCCAUUCAUAUCCAAUCAAAUAAAUCCAAAACCCUUGACCUGGACCUCGCCUAUACUGAAGGUCAACUUCCAAUAAAAGCCACACUACCUCUUGUAGCACGUACAACAGCAACCGUAACUUCCUCACCACCAUCUACCACAAAUACCCCUGCAGCAACGACUACUACAGUUGCCUUAGUUAGUACGGCUAGCCGUUCAGGAAGGGUCGGGGAUGGAACUGCAUCUACAGCAAUGAUUUCAUCUGGCAACAUCACCAGUCUUGCAACAAUUAAUAUCACAAGUAGUCAUACCCUCACAACCACCACCACUAGUCCUGACCAAAACAGCACAAUUAGCAGCAUUACCACUCAUAUUCCUGAAGAACAUAACACUAGAAUUAGCAACAUUACCACUCAUAUUCCUGAAGAACAUAUCACUACAAUUAGCAACAUUGCCACUCAUAUUCCUGAAGAACAUAACACUACAAUUAGCAGCAUUACCACUCAUAUUCCUGAAGAACAUAUCACUACAAUUAGCAACAUUACCACUCAUAUUCCUGAAGACCAAAACACUACAAUUAGCAACAUUACCACUCAUAUUCCUGAAGAACAUAUCACUACAAUUAGCAACAUUACCAUUCAUAUUCCUGAAGAACAUAUCACUACAAUUAGCAACAUUACCACUCAUAUUCCUGAAGACCAAAACACUACAAUUAGCAACAUAACCACCCCUAUUCCUGGAGACCAUAACAUUACAAUUAGCAACAUAACCACCCCUGCUCCUGGGGACCCUAACAUAACAAUUAGCAACGUAAGCACCCAUAUUCCUGGAGACCACAACAUUACAAUUAGCAACAUAACCACCCCUAGUCCUGGGGACCCUAACAUAACAAUUAGCAACGUAAGCACCCAUAUUCCUGGAGACCACAACAAUACAAUUAGCAACACAACCACCCCUGCUCCUGAAGACCACAACAUUACAAUUAGCAACAUAACCAUCCCUAGUCCUGGGGACCCUAAUAUAACAAUUAGCAAUGUAAGCACCCAUAUUCCUGGAGACCACAACAAUACAAUUAGCAACACAACCACCCCUAUUACCCCUAAAAAUCCUCCCCAGACCAGUAGCACGACAGUCUUCCGUAAAACCUCUCCAUCAACAACUGCCUCAGGCCAAUCUAACCCCCCAGUUGCCCCUACUGAGAGAGCAACAAGCAGGCAUCAGGCUGCCACAGGCCAAACGACCAAUCAUAAGAACCCAGAGAAUACGGAGGCGACACAUAAGACCACAGAGAAUGCUGCAGCUGUAGUUGCUGGGGGCGGAGAGGGAGUCCCAAGAUGGGGGAUCGCUCUAUUGGUACUGGCUGUCCUGACCUUGUUAAUCCUCCUUAUUCUCCUAAUACUGCUGCUAGUGUGGUUGUGCUGUAGGCAGAGAUGUGGAAGUUUCAGCCCAUAUAACCAGAUCAACCACGGGGCAGACAUCCAAAUGUACUCCACACACAGCCGCUUCGACGUGCCUAACGGCAAGCCUAAUGACGAAAUGCGGGGACCAUCGAAAAACCGAACAGGGAUGCAUGUGGUGAACGAAUACUGACACACAG